AGGGAAUCUUCCACAAUGGACGGAAGUCUGAUGGAGCAAUACCACGUGAACGAUGAAGGUCUUCUGAUUGUAAAGUUCUUUUAUUUAGGAAAAAAAGCGCGCUAGGAAAUGAGCGCGCCUUGAUGGUACUAAUUGAAUAAGUGACAGCUAACUAUGUGCCAGCAGCUGCGGUAAAACAUAGGUCACGAGCAUUAUCCGGAUUUAUUGGGCGUAAAGGAAGCGUAGGUGGGGAGGUUGAUCCAUUGUUAAAGGCAUUUGCUUAACAAAUGUAUGCGAUGGAGAUCGCCUCCCUAGAGUUAAUCAGGGGGUACUGGAAUUCAAUGUGUAGCGGUGGAAUGCGUAGAUAUAUUGAGGAACACCAGAGGCUAAGGCGAGUACCUAGGAUAUAACUGACACUGAGGCUUGAAAGCGUGGGGAGCAAACA
rnacentral:rRNA from 1 species